GCGGAUGUGGCGGAAUUGGCAGACGCACUAGACUUAGGAUCUAGCGCCUUCGGCGUGGGGGUUCGAGUCCCUUCAUCCGCA
rnacentral:tRNA from 1 species